ACAGACACAAGUGGCUUAUACACUUUGCUAACCUACCCACAAAUUGGUGGAAAGCUCUGUAGACAACGAUUGUAACAGAACUGAGAAAGUGAAACCAAAAAGUGGAAAUACAACUCUAGUGCCCUGAGGAAGAUGGUGAAUGAGUUAAGCAUUAAUAUUACAGGAAAGAAGACUGGAUCCAGACCCAAGAGAGGGUUCUUGUAUCUCAGGCAAGAAAGAAUUCUGGGCAAGUUCACAGAGGAAAAUGAAAGCACAUUUAUU
rnacentral:lncRNA from 1 species